rnacentral:rRNA from 1 species
UACGUAGGGGCCGAGCGUUGUCCGGAUUCAUUGGGCGUAAAGAGCUCGUAGGCGGUCGUGUAAGUCGGGUGUGAAAUCUCCAGGCUCAACUUGGAGGGGCCACCCGAUACUGCUCGACUUGAGUCCGGUAGGGGAGUGGGGAAUUCCUGGUGUAGCGGUGAAAUGCGCAGAUAUCAGGAGGAACACCGGUGGCGAAGGCGCCGCUCUGGGCCGGUACUGACGCUGAGGAGCGAAAGCGUGGGUAGCAAACAGG